AGAAUCAACGCUGGCGGCGUGCCUAACACAUGCAAGUCGCACGAGAAAGGGUAGCAAUACCUGAGUAAAGUGGCGCACGGGUGAGUAACACGUGAAUCAUCUACCUCCGAAUGGGGAAUAACUGAGAGAAAUCUUAGCUAAUACCGCAUAAUACCUACGGGUCAAAGCAGCAAUGCGUUUGGAGAGGAGUUCGCGGCAGAUUAGCUAGUUGGCGGGGUAAUGGCCCACCAAGGCGAUGAUCUGUAUCCGGCCUGAGAGGGCGCACGGACACACUGGAACUGAAACACGGUCCAGACUCCUACGGGAGGCAGCAGUGGGGAAUUUUGCGCAAUGGGGGAAACCCUGACGCAGCAACGCCGCGUGGAGGACGAAAUCCCUUGGGAUGUAAACUCCUUUCGAUAGGGAAGAUAAUGACGGUACCUAUAGAAGAAGCCCGGCUAACUUCGUGCCAGCAGCCGC
rnacentral:rRNA from 1 species